AUUAGAUUUAAAGUGGACUCAUUCCAAUUACAGGGCCUCGAAAGAGUCCUGUAUUGUUAUCUAGAGUCACCAAAGCCGCCGGCGCCCGCCCCCCGGCCGGGGCCGGAGAGGGGCUGACCGGGUUGGUUUUGAUCUGAUAAAUGCACGCAUCCCCCCCGCGAAGGGGGUCAGCGCCCGUCGGCAUGUAUUAGCUCUAGAAUUACCACAGUUAUCCAAGUAGGAGAGGAGCGAGCGACCAAAGGAACCAUAACUGAUUUAAUGAGCCAUUCGCAGUUUCACUGUACCGGCCGUGCGUACUUAGACAUGCAUGGCUUAAUCUUUGAGACAAGCAUAUGCUACUGGCAGGAUCAACCAGGUAGGUAGGUAGAGCGCGGCGAGGCCCCGACGCGGCCGGACGGCCGGCCGGGGGGCCUCGCGAGGACGGGCCCGGCGCCCCGCAAGCGAGGAGGACGACGGACGGACGGACGGACGGGCCGCGGACGGCCCGACCCGCGCCCGGCGGCCGGGAGGGACCGGCG
rnacentral:lncRNA from 10 species